UGCGCAGCCUGAUGCCUCUGCCCGUGUGUCAAGAAGUCUUCGGGGUGUAAACACUUUCAGUCGUGAGGAAGGUGGUGUGUUAAUACUCUUAUUUGACGUUAGCGACAGAAGAAGCACCGGCUAACUCCGUGCCAGCAGCCGCGUAAUACGGAGGGUGCUGAGCCGUUAAUCUGGAAUUACUGGGCGUAAAGCGCAUGCAGGUGGUUUGUUAAGUCAGAUGUGAAAGCCCGGGGCUCAACCUCGGAAUUGCAUUUGAAACUGGCAGACUAGAGUACUGUAGAGGGGGGUAGAAUUUCAGGUGUAGCGGUGAAAUGCGUAGAGAUCUGAAGGAAUACCGGUGGCGAAGGCGGCCCCCUGGACAGAUACNUGACACUCAGAUGCGAAAGCGUGGGGAGCAAACAGGAUUAGAUACCCUGGUAGUCCACGCCGUAAAACGAUGUCUACUUGGGAGGUUGUGGCCUUGAGCCGUGGCUUUCGGAGCUAACGCGUUAAGUAGACCGCCUGGGAGUACGGUCGCAAGAUUAAAACUCAAAUGAAUUGACGGGGGCCCGCACAAGCGGUGGAGCAUGUGGUUUAAUUCGUAUGCAACGCGAAGAACCUUACCUACUUUACAUCCAGAGACU
rnacentral:rRNA from 1 species